GAUGAACGCUGGCGGCGUGCCUAAUACAUGCAAGUAGAACGCUGAAGGAGGAGCUUGCUCUUCUGGAUGAGUUGCGAACGGGUGAGUAACGCGUAGGUAACCUGCCUGGUAGCGGGGGGUAACUAUUGGAAACGAUAGCUAAUACCGCAUGACAACAGUUAUUGCAUGAUAACUGUUUAAAAGGGGCAACUGCUCCACUACCAGAUGGACCUGCGUUGUAUUAGCUAGUUGGUGAGGUAACGGCUCACCAAGGCGACGAUACAUAGCCGACCUGAGAGGGUGAUCGGCCACACUGGGACUGAGACACGGCCCAGACUCCUACGGGAGGCAGCAGUAGGGAAUCUUCGGCAAUGGACGGAAGUCUGACCGAGCAACGCCGCGUGAGUGAAGAAGGUUUUCGGAUCGUAAAGCUCUGUUGUAAGAGAAGAACGAGUGUGAGAGUGGAAAGUUCACACUGUGACGGUAUCUUACCAGAAAGGGACGGCUAACUACGUG
rnacentral:rRNA from 1 species